rnacentral:tRNA from 1 species
GGUUGUGGCUCAAUGGUAGAGCACUUGCUAUCAUGCAGGAGGCACUGGGUUCCAUCCCUGGCACCA